rnacentral:sRNA from 1 species
CCGGGCGCCCUGCGCUCCUCCCCGCGCUGUCCCGGCGGCCCAGGAAUUCACUGUCUGUAGCACCUGCUCCUCCACAGAGGUACCCUGGGAUGGCGAUGGCACUCCCGAAGCCUGGACCCCAGGCUUUCUCGUUGCCAAACCAGCACUGAUCUCCCUACUGGAGCAAGGAGAGGAGCCGGGGGCCUUGAUUCUGCAGGGGGCUGAACAGAGUGUGGCCAAAGCCAGCCUGUGCACAGAGGACCCUAAUACACUGCCCAGCAGAAGCCAGGAAGGAAGCCCUGCCAGCUCAGAAGGUGGGCCAGGAGAGAAGGGUGUGGCCAGAAGGGGAGCCGGUGGGGGUGCUGCAUCCUCUUGGCCCCACUGGGAGCACCUUGUCACCCCUAACAGAUGAAGAGAAGGGUUUCUGGUGUCUCCAAUUUUUCAGGCGCCACCGUUCCUCUCAUCCAGACGUCGGCGCCCAAGGUGGAAGCAGGUCAUGGCAUGCCCGGCCCAGCUGCAGUCCGAGUGCAGAUCCCAUGGCGAGCGUGGGAUCCAGCCCAAAGCACAAGCCACGCACAGCCCACCGGGUUGAGUGGGCAGGUACCUCGAAUAGCCUGGAGCCAUGAGGCCCUGGGCAGGGGCGUUGCCGGCCGUGGAGGUAUCUGGCUGGCAAAGUGGCACCGAAAGAGUCCUGUGUCAUAAC